rnacentral:rRNA from 1 species
ACUCCUACGGGAGGCAGCAGUGGGGAAUAUUGCACAAUGGGCGAAACCCUGAUGCAGCCAUGCCGCGUGUUUGAAGAAGGCCUUCGGGUUGUAAAGCACUUUCAGUAGGGAGGAAAGGUAGUAACUUAAUACGUUCUUGCUGUGACGUUACCGACAGAAGAAGGACCGGCUAACUGCGUGCCAGCAGCCGCGGUAAUAC